rnacentral:rRNA from 1 species
UACGUAGGGUGCAAGCGUUUGUCCGGAAUUAUUGGGCGUAAAGAGCUCGUAGGCGGUCUGUCGCGUCGGCUGUGAAAACCCGGGGCUCAACCCCGGGCCUGCAGUCGAUACGGGCAGACUAGAGUGCGGUAGGGGGAGACUGGAAUUCCUGGUGUAGCGGUGAAAUGCGCAGAUAUCAGGAGGAACACCGGUGGCGAAGGCGGGUCUCUGGGCCGUAACUGACGCUGAGGAGCGAAAGCGUGGGGGAGCGAACAGG